rnacentral:rRNA from 1 species
UACAGAGGUCUCAAGCGUUGUUCGGAUUCAUUGGGCGUAAAGGGUGCGUAGGCGGCGCGGUGAGUCGGGUGUGAAAUCUCGGGGCUUAACUCCGAAACUGCAUUCGAUACUGCCGUGCUUGAGGACUGGAGAGGAGACUGGAAUUUACGGUGUAGCGGUGAAAUGCGUAGAUAUCGUAAGGAAGACCAGUGGCGAAGGCGGGUCUCUGGACAGUUCCUGACGCUGAGGCACGAAGGUCAGGGGAGCAAACGGG